GACGAACGCUGGCGGCGUGCUUAACACAUGCAAGUCGAGCGAGGUCCAUCCGGUGGCAACACCGGGGAAGACCUAGCGGCGAACGGGUGAGUAACACGUGAGCAACCUGCCCCGAAGACUGGGAUAACACCGGGAAACCGGUGCUAAUACCGGAUGCCCUCCUCUGGUCGCAUGGCCUAGGGAGGAAAUGAAUUUUGCUUCGGGAGGGGCUCGCGGGCUAUCAGCUUGUUGGUGGGGUAACGGCNCACCAAGGCGACGACGGCUAGCUGGUCUGAGAGGACGACCAGCCACACUGGGACUGAGACACGGCCCAGACUCCUACGGGAGGCAGCAGUGGGGAAUCUUGCGCAAUGGGCGAAAGCCUGACGCAGCAACGCCGCGUGGGGA
rnacentral:rRNA from 1 species